GGCCUGAUGCCACGUCACUGUUAGCCACGAGCAUUGAGCUGUGAUGCUAUGAUCAGGCCGAGACAAAGCUGA
rnacentral:snoRNA from 1 species